UUGCUGCUGUUAAUUGUAUUUGGUAAGCUGCCUCUCAUUGUGCUUGUCGUCGGAACCAGCAACAGCAGAAGCUUGCCUGCUGCCCUACCAAAGCAAAAUUAGGUUAUUUGUGAAUGAACAUUACCUCUUCAGCAAUCUGAUGGAUUUACAGGCUUGUUUGUUUCGUUGGUGGCUUGCUGCUCGGGUUCUUUGUUGAUUUUGUUGGAUGUGUGUGCUGUUUACCAACAAGGAGCUUCAGAAGGGUUGCUCACCAAUGAACUAGAAGAUUGUUUUGUCCUGGGCACUCACAUGAUUAAGGAAGAAAUUGGUUAUUCCUGGAUGUGCUAUGCAGAUCAAAGAUUUUGCAGGUUAUUUAGCCAUUCCCGUGCUUCCAAAGCAACUCAUGACCCCUCUUAUAACUCUGCCCUGCAAUAUUUAGGUGUUACAAAAAUAGUUUGACCAUUUUGCGUCAUAAUGAGAGUUCUUUCACUAUUUUGGAGAUUGGUGCAUUCUUUCUGCAGUUUAACACCUGCAUUGCAAAUAAUCUUGCCAGAGAACUGUGUUGGGCACACAACUGCGUCUCCAACCCAUCCGGUAUACCAGCUCCUCCUCGCCCCUUCCUCAAUUUUCCGGUAAAAGUCUAUGCUUUGGUUUAUGCUUACUUGGUGGAGGUGGAUAUGGAUGCAGAUGGAGAGGCACAAAUUCAUGGAUUGGCCAAUGAGAUAU